rnacentral:rRNA from 1 species
AGUGAACGCUGGCGGUAGGCCUAACACAUGCAAGUCGAACGGCAGCACAGUAAGAGCUUGCUCUUACGGGUGGCGAGUGGCGGCCGGGUGAGGAAUACAUCGGAAUCUACUUUUUCGUGGGGGAUAACGUAGGGAAACUUACGCUAAUACCGCAUACGACCUACGGGUGAAAGCAGGGGAUCUUCGCACCUUGCGCGAUUGAAUGAGCCGAUGUCGGAUUAGCUAGUUGGCGGGGUAAGGGCCCACCAAGGCGACGAUCCGUAGCUGAUCUGAGAGGAUGAUCAGCCACACUAGAACUGAGACACGGUCCAGACACCUACGGGAGGCAGCAGUAGGGAAUAUUAGACAAUGGGCGCAAGCCUGAUCCAGCCAUACCGCGUGGGUGAAAAAGGCCUUCGGGUUGUAAAGCCCUUUUGUUGGGGAAGAAAAGCAGCAGGUUAAUACCCCGCUGUUCUGACGGUACCCAAAGAAUAAGCACCGGCUAACUUCGUG